GACGAACGCUGGCGGCGUGCUUAACACAUGCAAGUCGAACGAUGAAGCCGGAGCUUGCUCUGGUGAAUUAGUGGCGAACGGGUGAGUAACACGUGAGUAACCUGCCCUUGACUCUGGGAUAACUUCGGGAAACUGUAGCUAAUACCGGAUACGACCCUCGGAGGCAUCUCCUGGGGGUGGAAAGAAUUUCGGUCAAGGAUGGACUCGCGGCCUAUCAGCUAGUUGGUGAGGUAAAGGCUCACCAAGGCGACCACGGGUAGCCGGCCUGGGAGGGUGACCGGCCACACUGGGACUGAGACACGGCCCAGACUCCUACGGGAGGCAGCAGUGGGGAAUAUUGCACAAUGGGCGCAAGCCUGAUGCAGCAACGCCGCGUGAGGGAUGACGGCCUUCGGGUUGUAAACCUCUUUUAGCAGGGAAGAAGCGAAAGUGACGGUACCUGCAGAAAAAGCACCGGCUAACUACGUGCCAGCCGCCGCCGUAA
rnacentral:rRNA from 1 species